GACGAACGCUGGCGGCGUGCCUAAUACAUGCAAGUAGAACGCUGAAGAGAGGAGCUUGCUCUUCUUGGAUGAGUUGCGAACGGGUGAGUAACGCGUAGGUAACCUGCUUUGUAGCGGGGGAUAACUAUUGGAAACGAUAGCUAAUACCGCAUAACAAUGGAUGACACAUGUCAUUUAUUUGAAAGGGGCAAUUGCUCCACUACAAGAUGGACCUGCGUUGUAUUAGCUAGUAGGUGAGGUAAUGGCUCACCUAGGCGACGAUACAUAGCCGACCUGAGAGGGUGAUCGGCCACACUGGGACUGAGACACGGCCCAGACUCCUACGGGAGGCAGCAGUAGGGAAUCUUCGGCAAUGGGGGCAACCCUGACCGAGCAACGCCGCGUGAGUGAAGAAGGUUUUCGGAUCGUAAAGCUCUGUUGUAAGUCAAGAACGGGUGUGAGAGUGGAAAGUUCACACUGUGACGGUAGCUUACCAGAAAGGGACGGCUAACUACGUG
rnacentral:rRNA from 1 species